UAGGGAGUCUUCGGCAAUGGACGAAAGUCUGACCGAGCAACGCCGCGUGAGUGAAGAAGGUUUUCGGAUCGUAAAACUCUGUUGUUAGAGAAGAACAAGGACGUUAGUAACUGAACGUCCCCUGACGGUAUCUAACCAGAAAGCCACGGCUAACUACGUGCCAGCAGCCGCGGUAAUACGUAGGUGGCAAGCGUUGUCCGGAUUUAUUGGGCGUAAAGCGAGCGCAGGCGGUUUCUUAAGUCUGAUGUAAAAGCCCCCGGCUCAACCGGGGAGGGUCAUUGGAAACUGGGAGACUUGAGUGCAGAAGAGGAGAGUGGAAUUCCAUGUGUAGCGGUGAAAUGCGUAGAUAUAUGGAGGAACACCAGUGGCGAAGGCGGCUCUCUGGUCUGUAACUGACGCUGAGGCUCGAAAGCGUGGGGAGCAAACAGG
rnacentral:rRNA from 1 species